UUUGCAUUUCAGCUUAAUUUGGUUGGAUCUGUUGCAGUGGAUUUGGGUUAAUUCACUCCAUAAAGCUAGUUAUUUUCAGCCUUCUCUCUAGUUGAAGUACUGAAGCAGAAAGGAACAAUUAUGUCUGUUUCAAUGAGAGAUUUGGAUCCAGCUUUUCAAGGAGCAGGCCAAAAGGCUGGAAUAGAGAUCUGGCGUAUUGAAAAGCUAAGUCCAGUUCCUGUUCCAAAGUCAUCACAUGGUAAAUUUUACACAGGAGACUCAUAUAUUAUUUUGAAGACCAGCGCUUCAAAAACUGGUGCCUUACGGCAUGAUAUUCAUUACUGGCUUGGUGCUGAUACUAGUCAGGAUGAAGCUGGUGCUUCUGCCAUAAAAACUAUUGAACUAGAUGCAGCACUUGGUGGGCGUGCUGUUCAAUAUCGUGAAGUGCAAGGCCAUGAAACUGAGAAGUUCCUUUCCUAUUUCAAACCAUGUAUAAUCCCUCUAAAAGGUGG
rnacentral:misc_RNA from 1 species